AAGAUGGCGACAGGCGCACGGGUGAGUAACACGUAUCCAACCUGCCGAUAACUCCGGAAUAGCCUUUCGAAAGAAAGAUUAAUACCGGAUGGCAUACGAAUAUCGCAUGAUAUUUUUAUUAAAGAAUUUCGGUUAUCGAUGGGGAUGCGUUCCAUUAGUUUGUUGGCGGGGUAACGGCCCACCAAGACUACGAUGGAUAGGGGUUCUGAGAGGAAGGUCCCCCACAUUGGAACUGAGACACGGUCCAA
rnacentral:rRNA from 1 species